GAGGAAUAUUGGUCAAUGGACGAAAGUCUGAACCAGCCAAGUAGCGUGCAGGAUGACGGCCCUCUGGGUUGUAAACUGCUUUUAGUUGGGAAUAAAAAAGAGGACGUGUCCUCUAUUGUAUGUACCUUCAGAAAAAGGACCGGCUAAUUCCGUGCCAGCAGCCGCGGUAAUACGGAAGGUCCAGGCGUUAUCCGGAUUUAUUGGGUUUAAAGGGAGCGUAGGCGGAUUAUUAAGUCAGUGGUGAAAGACGGUGGCUCAACCAUCGUUAGCCAUUGAAACUGGUAGUCUUGAGUGCAGACAGGGAUGCUGGAACUCGUGGUGUAGCGGUGAAAUGCUUAGAUAUCACGAUGAACUCCGAUCGCGAAGGCAGGUGUCCGGGCUGCAACUGACGCUGAGGCUCGAAAGUGUGGGUAUCAAACAGGAUUAGAUACCCUGGUAGUCCACACAGUAAACGAUGUAUACUCGCGGUUUGCGAUAUAAUGUAAGCCGCCAAGCGAAAGCAUUAAGUAUACCACCUGGGGAGUACGCCGGCAACGGUG
rnacentral:rRNA from 1 species